GCGGUCCGUCCCGUGGACGCCCUGACCAUAAGCCCCCGGUCCCGGCUACCCUGGCGGCGAGCGCCCUCCACGGGAAGCUCCGUGACCGAUCCCGCGGGACGGUCCGGGAGCCACCGGAGGGCGCCGUGAAGCCGACAGCCGUCGCACCCGAGGGAGCCCAUACAUG
rnacentral:sRNA from 1 species